AAUGACUUCCACGUACUGUUACAACAUGUCCGAGGCUUGGCCCGCUCUGCUCUCGGAGGCUCUCCAUCACAUCGGAGGGCGCUGGGGGCAUCAACAGCUCUGUGGGGUGGCCCUGGAGCAGGGACGUCCCCCGAGGCGGCAUGGACACCACCUGUCCUAAAGGUGGCUCUCUAGCAAAACGUGAACAGGCCUCGCAAACACCUCUUCAUCAACACGACAAAAGGCAGUCUCCCAGGAAGGAAGGCGCAGUGACAAUUUUCUGAGCUCUCAUUCUUCCCUAGAGUGGAACGGGGACCAGCCUGCCGGCUCACCUGUGUGCCGGGGAGGUCGUGGGCUUUCUGUGUGGAAGCAAGGUGGGCUGUGAGGAUGGCCAGAGCCAGCUCUGCACCAUUUGGGGACAAGCUGGAGCAGAGAUCCCGAGAGCUGACUCCUGCGAUGCAGCCAUGCUGGGAGAGAGGUGCACCCUGCAUUCCUCAAUUCCGUGGACCUUACUACCUUCCUGUUGCAUUCCACACUCCAGUUGGAGCUCAGUUUUCUGAAACAGAAAGAGUCCUGGCAGUCUCUAUCCAGGUCUUUAUCUCCCAUU
rnacentral:lncRNA from 1 species